UCUGUUGAUCAUUGGAUUGUCUGGUCCAGACUCGAUUAUUUACAGACCGCCGCCAUAUAGCUGGAAUAUUGCUGAGUGCGGAGUAAAACAAUACACCAAACCAAAACUAAAUCUUUCUUCAUCAAUAUUUAUUUAAUGUUUUCUUAGCAAAGCGACUCGAUUUGCAUUAUAUAAUAUGUCACUAUUCAUAGGUGAUCCGAACUUCAAGAGUUCAUGAAAAUGACAUAAUUAGUGAAAACAUUUAUUUUUAUUUCUUAUGUUGUUACCUUUACGACGAGCAUGGGAUGCUGAAGACCAAUUCUAACCCGGACUUCCACUCACGGGUCUGCAGCAAUAGGAGGUGUGAACAGGAUAUAAGUACACAGAAGUAAUACGCAUGCCAACCAUGCUGAACAGACGUGAGAGGUUACCAUGGAGAUUGUACGAACGAUUCAAUGUCUCUCUCCUCGGGCAAGGCCGUUUGGUUUGUUGGUUAGCAAUACUCAACAUGAUUCCAGCGAUAUGACGGCGGUCUAUGUAAUCAUCCGAAGUCGUGGUAUUGGAGGACAUCUACAGUCUAGCUGCACAACAACUCCCCGUGGACCUCGGGG